AGUGAACGCUGGCGGUAGGCCUAACACAUGCAAGUCGAACGGCAGCACAGUAAGAGCUUGCUCUUACGGGUGGCGAGUGGCGGACGGGUGAGGAAUACAUCGGAAUCUACUUUUUCGUGGGGGAUAACGUAGGGAAACUUACGCUAAUACCGCAUACGACCUACGUGUGAAAGCAGGGGAUCUUCGGACCUUGCGCGAUUGAAUGAGCCGAUGUCGGAUUAGCUAGUUGGCGGGGUAAAGGCCCACCAAGGCGACGAUCCGUAGCUGGUCUGAGAGGAUGAUCAGCCACACUGGAACUGAGACACGGUCCAGACUCCUACGGGAGGCAGCAGUGGGGAAUAUUGGACAAGGGGCGCAAGCCUGAUCCAGCCAUACCGCGUGGGUGAAGAAGGCCUUCGGGUUGUAAAGCCCUUUUGUUGGGAAAGAAAAGCAGCAGGUUAAUACCCCGCUGUUCUGACGGUACCCAAAGAAUAAGCACCGGCUAACUUCGUG
rnacentral:rRNA from 1 species